UUAAAUUGAAGAGUUUGAUCAUGGCUCAGAUUGAACGCUGGCGGCAGGCCUAACACAUGCAAGUCGAACGGUAACAGGAAGCAGCUUGCUGCUUUGCUGACGAGUGGCGGACGGGUGAGUAAUGUCUGGGAAACUGCCUGAUGGAGGGGGAUAACUACUGGAAACGGUAGCUAAUACCGCAUAACGUCGCAAGACCAAAGAGGGGGACCUUCGGGCCUCUUGCCAUCGGAUGUGCCAGAUGGGAUUAGCUAGUAGGUGGGGUAACGGCUCACCUAGGCGACGAUCCCUAGCUGGUCUGAGAGGAUGACCAGCCACACUGGAACUGAGACACGGUCCAGACUCCUACGGGAGGCAGCAGUGGGGAAUAUUGCACAAUGGGCGCAAGCCUGAUGCAGCCAUGCCGCGUGUAUGAAGAAGGCCUUCGGGUUGUAAAGUACUUUCAGCGGGGAGGAAGGGAGUAAAGUUAAUACCUUUGCUCAUUGACGUUACCCGCAGAAGAAGCACCGGCUAACUCCGUGCCAGCAGCCGCGGUAAUACGGAGGGUGCAAGCGUUAAUCGGAAUUACUGGGCG
rnacentral:rRNA from 1 species